UACGUAGGGUGCAAGCGUUGUCCGGAAUUAUUGGGCGUAAAGAGCUCGUAGGCGGUUCGUCGCGUCGGCUGUGAAAACCCGGAGCUCAACUCCGGGCCUGCAGUCGAUACGGGCGGACUCGAGUUCGGCAGGGGAGACUGGAAUUCCUGGUGUAGCGGUGAGAUGCGCAGAUAUCAGGAGGAACACCGGUGGCGAAGGCGGGUCUCUGGGCCGAUACUGACGCUGAGGAGCGAAAGCGUGGGGAGCGAACAGG
rnacentral:rRNA from 1 species